rnacentral:rRNA from 1 species
UACGAAGGGGGCUAGCGUUGCUCGGAAUCACUGGGCGUAAAGGGUGCGUAGGCGGGUCUUUAAGUCAGGGGUGAAAUCCUGGAGCUCAACUCCAGAACUGCCUUUGAUACUGAAGAUCUUGAGUUCGGGAGAGGUGAGUGGAACUGCGAGUGUAGAGGUGAAAUUCGUAGAGUAUUCGCAAGAACACCAGUGGCGAAGGCGGCUCACUGGCCCGAUACUGACGCUGAGGCACGAAAGCGUGGGGAGCAAACAGG